rnacentral:lncRNA from 1 species
UGUUUGCGUACUCUGACACUGAUUCUCCACAAGGGCCACAGUUUGAAUCUCAAUACAUACCGGAGUCCUCAACAAUUUCAGCGGUUGAUCAGUCUUUGAAGUGCGAACCACCUGAAAAAGAAAAGUGUUCAGAAGAAGCAAUGGAUCAGCUCGAGGCAGAACUCCAAGCUGAGUUGGAACGCUUACAACUGCACUUGGAUGGGGAGAAGUUGAAACACUCAGAGCUAUUAAGGGUAGAGGUAAGCUGAAUUGUAUGCUUUGUGGCGUGGUAUCCUGGAACUGUUUCUAUGAACUUAGUAUUGAUGGAUUUGCAGCAAAUGGAUUCCAUUACAUUCUCUGAUGGUAGAAAUCUUCGCAUAGAAAUAUAUGGAAUGAGUUCAUAACAGAUACGCAUGCUGGAAAAUAUCUUAAAUUAUAAUAUCGAUGUAUUUUCUCUUCAUGCUUUUGUUGCAUGUAGAAAGAAAACCGUGAACAAUGUCAUUUGUUUGUCUUGGAUUGGAUCUUCCCACACCCUCACUUUGAUUCAUAGAAUUGAGAUUUUGCUAGCAAUUAGGGUUUAAUUCCUUUCUGCUGUUUGCAAGGUUGAUGAUUCAUAGAAUUGAGAUUUUGCUAGCAAUUAGGGUUUAAUUCCUUUCUGCUGUUUGCAAGGUUGAUCUUCCUGUUCCAUAUUCCUUGUUGUGUCUUCUAAAUAUCAGAGAUUUUGGAAAUUGUAGGUGACUGAUGAAGACACUACCUGCUCGAAAAGUCAGACCCCGACUUCUGGAGAAGUGAUUGACCUUCAACCUCACGAUGUAGACACAGAUUGUGGAGUUCCUCCUGAUGAAUUGGAAAGAAGGUUGCAUGAAUUACUGGAAGCAAGACAGCAAGAAGAGAUAAGAGAGCUGAAAGCCGCUAUAGAAUGUCUUAAGCACAAGCUGUAUGAGAAAGAAGUGGAGGUUUCUAGGUGGAAAGACACAGCAAUGCUUAUUUCAAGGCAUGCUAUGGAACCUUCCCCCCUCCUCCAAAAUACCAGCGAAGAAUUGAUUAACAAAAGCAAUAUCUCUAAGCUGUCGAAACCAAAUGAUAUGUUUGCGUACUCUGACACUGAUUCUCCACAAGGGCCACAGUUUGAAUCUCAAUACAUACCGGAGUCCUCAACAGUUUCAGCGGUUGAUCAGUCUUUGAAGUGCGAACCACCUGAAAAAGAAGAGUGUUCAGAAGAAGCAAUGGAUCAGCUCGAGGCAGAACUCCAAGCUGAGUUGGAACGCUUACAACUGCACUUGGAUGGGGAGAAGUUGAAACACUCAGAGCUA